CUGAGUGAAGAGAAUUUGACACACAGACCAAACAGUUGAUUUGUCAUGAUAGACAGACGCACCUGCAGCAUUUGGACUAAGAGCAGAAGUUCUUGUUCAGCCAUGGAUAUGGUCAUCUCAUCAAGCAGCAGCUGCUGGCAUAUACCAUAGGCGGUGCUAAAGAUGAGCCUUGCUGCCUGAUGACAACAUAGCGCAUCAGAAUGUUUUCCAGUUGCCCGAGCAAUCAUCUACCCUCACAUCACACAUGAUAAAAUAGUGGAAAGACUCCCCUUGGCCCACUUCAGACUGCUGGACCCUCUGCAGUUUGCCUACCAGUCCCAUCUGUG